rnacentral:rRNA from 1 species
UACAGAGGGGGCAAGCGUUGUUCGGAAUUACUGGGCGUAAAGGGCGCGUAGGCGGCCUUCUAAGUCGAACGUGAAAUCCCCGGGCUUAACCUGGGAAUGGCGUUUGGGACUGGGUCGCUAGAGUGUGGCAGAGGGAGGUGGAAUUCCACGUGUAGCAGUGAAAUGCGUAGAGAUGUGGAGGAACACCGAUGGCGAAGGCAGCCUCCUGGGCCAGCACUGACGCUCAUGCACGAAAGCGUGGGGAGCAAACAGG